GUGAAGUAUCAAUUUCUUGUGUGUUAGACCAGCUGUGUGUUGGGUGUUGUUUGCUGGCUGUGGACUGCAUUGCUGAUGGUGUUCGGGUGGUAGCGUUACCUGGGCGUGGUUGUUCGACACCGCAGGGUUGCACCAGAUCGGCUACACGAAGGUUAGACCUGGGAGUGUUGAUUUAUGCAAUGCAGUUUUUGCACUGCCUCCCGCAGUACUUUUAUCGUUUGAGUUUUAUUUUUUGUUAGUCUGCCCAGUUAGGAUUGUUUUUCUUCUUGUAGUACUUGUGAGGGCAGGCUAACAACCUUUCAUUUAUUUUGUUUGUUUUGUUUAAUUGUUUGUUUUUGGGCACUUCCCUGAAUAUUUAUAUCCUGUUUGGUGUGAUCCCCAUGUCGGGUUGACAACGAACGGAUGAAGCUAGCGGGGAAUC